GGGACCCUACCGUGCUUAGGGCUCUCUAACUGCGACCCCAGUUUAGGCGGGAUCACCCAUUGAGUUUAAGCAUAUCAUAACCGGGAAGGAAAAA
rnacentral:rRNA from 1 species